rnacentral:rRNA from 1 species
GACGAACGCUGGCGGCGUGCUUAACACAUGCAAGUCGAACGGAAAGGCCCUGCUUUUGUGGGGUGCUCGAGUGGCGAACGGGUGAGUAACACGUGAGUAACCUGCCCUUGACUUUGGGAUAACUUCAGGAAACUGGGGCUAAUACCGGAUAGGAGCUCCUGCUGCAUGGUGGGGGUUGGAAAGUUUCGGCGGUUGGGGAUGGACUCGCGGCUUAUCAGCUUGUUGGUGGGGUAGUGGCUUACCAAGGCUUUGACGGGUAGCCGGCCUGAGAGGGUGACCGGCCACAUUGGGACUGAGAUUCGGGCCCGACCCCCUCGGGAGGGCGCAGUGGGGAAUAUUUCAACAGGGGGGGAAGCCCGAAGUCGCCACGCCCGGGUCGGGAAUACCGCCCUUGGGUUUGAAACCCCUUUCCCCCGUGAACAAGCGGUAGUGACGGUAAUGGGGAAAGAAGCCCCCGCCAACCUCGUG